CAGAGUUUAUCUUAACUCCCAAACCCCAUGUGAACAUACCUUACGUUGCCUCGGCAGGUCGCGUCGUACCCGGGAGGGCCCUACCCUGUAGGGCAUGACCUGGUGCGCGCGGGUAACCCUGCCGGCGGCCCCUGAAACUCUGUUUUUUACAUUAGAAUUCUGAAUCUAUAACUAAAUAAGUUA
rnacentral:misc_RNA from 1 species